GAUUUGCAUUGUCCUCAAAAAUUGAGAAUGACUUCCUCUUUCAAAGAGAAACUGAGCUCUGAACCAAUAUCAGAAACUUCAAAAAAGCAUAUUUAAAAUACAAUUAAAGAGAAAUUAGCCCUCUUUAUUUUCAACAAAAAAUUUAUAAAAGACUACCAAAAAUGCCUUUUACAUGAUGAAAUCUAUAAAUAACUCGACCAAAUAUUAUGCCCAAAUUCCGAGUAACAAUUGUAAUUCUCAUCUAUAUCCAUCCGGCUCACCAAAACAAUAAUCGAUCAUCAACAACCCUACUUCCUAGAAUUAUUCUCUUCCCAAAAAUGGGAAAAGGAAAAUGGAAACCAAAAGGGGCAACUUAGAUAGUAUGUUAUUUUGCACAUAGCUAAGAUGAAAAAUGAUCAAUUUUUUCCGAGCCAAAGCUGCAGCAAUCCC
rnacentral:lncRNA from 1 species